rnacentral:rRNA from 1 species
GACGAACGCUGGCGGCGCGCCUAACACAUGCAAGUCGAACGGAGCGUGCCGAGCGGAAGCCUUCGGGUGGAAGCAUGGCAUUGCUUAGUGGCGAACGGGUGAGUAACACGUGAGCAACCUGCCUUAAAGUGGGGGACAACAUUUGGAAACGAAUGCUAAUACCGCAUAAGACCACGGAGUCGCAUGGCUCUGAAGCCAAAGGAGCAAUCCGCUUUAAGAUGGGCUCGCGUCCGAUUAGGUAGUUGGUGGGGUAAUGGCUCACCAAGCCAACGAUCGGUCGCCGGACUGAGAGGUUGAUCGGCCACAUUGGGACUGAGAUACGGCCCAGACUCCUACGGGAGGCAGCAGUGGGGAAUAUUGGGCAAUGGGCGCAAGCCUGACCCAGCAACGCCGCGUGAAGGAAGAAGGCUUUCGGGUUGUAAACUUCUUUGACCAGGGAAGAAACAAAUGACGGUACCUGGAAAACAAGCCACGGCUAACUACGUGCCAGCAGCCGCAGUAAGAC